GCCUGGGUAGCUCAGUGGGUUAAGCGUCUGACUUCAGCUCAGAUCACGAUCUCACGGUUCAUGAGUUGGAGCCCCAUGUCAGGCU
rnacentral:tRNA from 1 species